AGAGUUUAGUUCUCUUCAGUGGUUUUGGCUUGCUCUGCAGUCAUGGCUAGAUGUGCUUAAAGAAACAUAUGAUUUUACAUUAUGUCCUUGAAAAACUUAGGAGAUGCCUGACUACUAAUCUCUCAGAGGAGAGGAAAUUUCUGGCAUCUUAUACUUAGUUUCGCAAAGAGAUGAGAUGCAGCUUGAACUCACACAUGUAGGGUCCUCAUCAGGCACUAAGCAGGGUUGUUCUUUGCUUCCUCUCCAUUAUGCUCUGUAAUUGACCCAUGGCUGGCAUGACCUUCACCUUCUAUCCUGGCCCAGCUCCUUCUUAUCAUGCUUCCUGAGCCAGUGCAGUGGUCAAUACGGAAAACCUUCCCUGACCCUCCUAGACUUAUAACCUCUGAUUCUCCACAGCACUCCCCCGCAUGCCUCUGCUACUAGACUUAUUUCACACUGAGUGUUACACAUUUAGGGAGCUGGAUGCUGGCCCUGUGUGUCUUGUGCAUGUGCUAUGUAUGGCCCAUGGCGUCCAAUCCAUUUUUGUUAUUCUGGGAGGUAACCCUUACCUUUGUUGCACUUUGCUCUUGUAAUAGGACUAAACAGGCUACCUUCAUUUCUACUCAAGCAGCAUUUAAUGAGAUUAGUCAACAAUGACAGGCGAUCCUCAUCCCCCACCAGGCCAAUUUUCCCUGGCAGGAUGGUGCUUGCCCACCUUGAUAGGUGGCAGGACAAUUACUGGGCGCCUUCUCGACCUGCUUCAAAGCUUCCUAUAACCUGGCAGUGAAUGAAAUGCACAACCUUCCAACUCAAUGACAUUUAAGGCAACCACUCAUUGGUUCAGGCAGCAAAAUAAAUUGGUACUCAGCUGCUCCCAGUCUAUUUUUCUGGUUGGAGCAAUAAAUAAAAGAAAUGAUUGUGCCACUGCACAUGUGACACAAACCUGCCCCCUCCCCAAGCAAUCACAUUCUCUCACUCUCUCUCUGGCUUUGUUCUGGUCCCCUUUAGGAACAGAGUGUUAAGGAUUGUAUUUGGGUUGCCCAGGGCUGUGUGUCUACAUUUGAGUCCUACACACACAAAUAUAAUAAAUGAAUGUGUGUACAUUUGAAUUGCAUACCCACUCCUACUGAAUUUGUAGUGCAUUCAUAUGGAAAUAUUUUCUACUAAAUAUUAUAACUCCCCCAAUAUUCUUAUUUAGUCCCUUUUAUUCAAGGGACUAAGUUGCAUCACUCAAGGGUGACAUUUAAAUGACAGUUACUACAGUAACACAGAGUAAUGACCUUGUGAAGUGCCAUAUAUUGGUGUGCUUAUCCAGUAAUUUAUAUACCCCAUAAAUACCAGUUGUGAUGUCUGAAGAGAACUUAAAAAAGACAAGAAAUCUCUUUUCCCCACACAAAUGGUUGUGAAAUAUAACAUUUUUAGAAGCACGUUGGGGAUACUUUUUUACCCCAUAAUCUCCCCCGCCCCCCAGAUUCCUUCCCUUCUAAGCAGUGAGUGUUGCAUCCCUCUGCCCCUCAAAUAUUAAAAAUAAAAACCAGAAGAUAGUCUUCUGCUCUCCCUCCCACCCCAAGGUCUUUACAAACACAAAGAGAAAAAAAAAGGAAUCUAUCAAAUCACAAGAUCCUUACCCUCUCUCAAACUAAAUCUGCUUUAAUCAGUAUGCUAGCACAUUCUGUCAAACUCCCCAACUUUUUAAGCAAUACAUUAUUCCUUCAGUUUCUGCCAAAGCUAAACCUUUGCCAGGCCCCACGGCUUUAUGAAGAGGCUGUUGCCAAGUUGACUUCUCUGUCUCAGUCAAGAGGCUGCUCCCCAGCUCUGCUCGAAAUUAAUAAGGCCAAUCAGAUAUGCACAAAGCCUGCGCAGCCAAUCAUUCUUCUCCAAGUAUUUGCCAUCUCCUCUGCGGUCAGAUAAAUCACGUUAAAGCUAUUACACCAAUGACCAUAAAUUAGGGGGCCUGGCGGUCAGUCCCUCCCGAGGACACAGCAGGCUAAGAUUAUUCCAGCGCAAGGGAGGGGAGGUGGGCCCGCGGGGUGGUGAGUUAUCUGUGGUUACAGAAUCCUGGGCCGGCGCGCAGGCUCCCGGAGGACCGUGUCUGGGCUGCGCCCAGCUGUGCACCAGCGCUCGGACGGAGAUGGCCCCAUCCCCUGGUGCGCGGACUCCAUCUGCGCCGCUCUGCCAGACUAUUUACAGCCGAGGUUCGGCCGGUGAUUGCUGGCAUGGAAAACUCAUUUCUCAGCCCGGCUUUUAUUUACACUCUUAUUAAGGAGCCUUCACUCACAUCGGAAUGGCAGCGAGUGGCUGCAGCGAGCCCUUGGCCCCCGGCCAGGCAGCCGAUCUUGGGGCGGGUGAGCCCCCGGGGCCGCCCUCGCCGGCGACCUUCCGCCCAGGGAGCGCAGUGAGCGCUGGCACAAAGGCACCAGAAACCAGGGCGCAGGAACCUGAGCGCAACACCCUGGAAAAAUUCAGUGGCCUGGUGGCUGAUUUCCCCUUGCGGUGUUGGCUGGUUCCCCGCCCCCUUGCCUGGCCAUGCUUCUUGCAAACGUGGACCGUGAGAAAAUGAAGGGUUGACAUGCUUUAACCCGCAUCCAAAAUCUUAGAUCAAGAUUCCACCCUCCCCCAGACCCCUCUCUACCCGCCCAAGCCUCUGCUGCUGGGUUGUAACCCAGCCUUCCAGGAGGGAUAGACUCCCAGUAAUGACUCCCAGGAGGGAAACUUCCUGGCUGUUCUUUCUGUUGGCACCGCAUAAAACCCAAGCAGGCCAGCGCAUGUGCGUGUGAGCCUGCAAGUCCGGAAAACCCGCCAGAAGCCUCUGCACAUCUGGGGCUCCUAACCAUGCAUAUUCAUGACUGAGAGCAGUAAAACCCAGGUCAGCUGCUUGAAGACAAUGAACUGUGUUCUUAAAGGCUAACCAAGCCCGAGAAUUGAAUAAAAAUAACAACCCCCCAGCCUCCUUUCUGAAUCCUGUGCAAAGCGUCUUAACACUUGAGACUAUUUUUUUUCCCCCUAAAAUGGACAAAGGAAACAGGGAGCAGUUUUGCAAGGGGUCAGUUUCUACAGUUUUCCUUAACUAUAGAAAUCUUGAUUCUACCUUUUCCUUAGUGUCCUCAGCCUCUGCAAGAGUAGGUAGUAUCUUCACAUCUUUUCUUCUGCACAUGGUCCCUCUUGGUUUAACUUGUUUCCUUUCUCUUCCUGUUACUCAUCCUGCCAUCUGAUGGCAUCACUCUUAGCCUUUCUUCCCAGAAAGGAUGGAUCUUCUGCCCUCCUGACGCUCAUUUCUAUCACUUCCAUGCUACUCCCACAGACCCCCCCCCAUCCCCCAUUCCGGGUUUGCUGUUAUGGGCUGAAUUGUGUCCCCCAAAACUGAUUUGUUAAGACUUAAUCCUGCACUACUUAAGAAUAUGACUGUAUUUUGGAGAGAGAGCCUUUAAAGAGGUAAUUAAGGUAAAAUGAGGUUCAAUAUGACUGGUGUUCUUUUGAGAGGAAAUUCAGACAAAGAGACACCAAGAAUGCAUGCUCUCAGGCAAAAGACUGUGAAGACAACAAAAAAGGCCAAGCCAAGCCAAGGAGAGGCCAAACCUUUCCCUCAGGAUGGUUUUGGUCUGCACAGCAUUCUUUUUAUUAUGUUUAAGGUGAUCUUGUUUUUUGAUAAGAAACUAUUCACCAGUGAAAUUUCCAUGAGAUUUAUUCAUGCCCCUUCUGUUUUUCAGUUUUGCCCUGUAUACGUUUUUCCAGUUAAAAUACAGGAUACCCAAGUUUGAAUUUCAAAGGAACAGAAAAAUAAUUUUUAAAGUAUGUCCCAAAUAUUGCAUGGGACAUGCUUAUAUUUUUAAAAAAAUUCUUUAUCUGAAAUUCAGAUUUAACUAGAUGUCUUAUAUUUUUUAAUCUGUGAAACUGCCAACAAUAGUUCAGGGUGUGUGUCUUUAAUAUUUUUACACGGUGGUUCUGACAUUAGAAUCAACUGGAGAACAUUUAAAAAAUACUGAUGGCUGGGGUCUCUCCCUAGGGGAACUGGAUGUAAUUGGUUUGGGAUUUUUUUUUUUUUUUAAAGCUCCCAGGUGAUUUUAAUGUGCAGGCAGGGACUAGAAUCCCUGCAGUAAGAGGCAGGUAUUAACUAAUUAAAUGUUCAUGGCUACUGCAUUGUUGGAUUUAGGUUCCCUUAAGCUUAAAUUCUUUGGGUUUUGUUCUGCUAAAAAAUGUCAUCAUAUUAUUCUUAUUGCUGAGCCCAGAGGCAAAGGUCAAGUAGAUCAUGAAAAAUGCCCUGUUAGUAUGUGAAAUGGUUUUAUUAUUUCAGGUCAACUGAGAACAUAAAGAAAGAUGUCAAGAGCUGUGUAAUAUUGAUAACACUGCAGAAAACUACUCUCUAUCCCAGCACUUCAGGUUUUGUAAUAAAUGGUGCAGCUGGACACCAUGGUAAAAGAUUUACCUUUUACCAUUACUUUUAUUACAGGUCACUGCUCAAGAAUGUAGGAUCUGUUUUAAGCACACUUUCUUUCAAGAGGAAUUUCAAUAUAACUGUGUUCAGUUCUUACAGACCUUGGGUAUCUUCUCUUCUUCAGCUAUUAAUUGGCAAGUAUGGAGAGCUAAAGCUUACCUGCAGCUCACUUGUUACUGAAAAAUUGAUGGAAAGUUCAUGUAUCAUGGCUAAUACCCCGAAGGUAGGGCCUUAUAUUUGACUCUGGUACUCAAUUUCAUCCUGAAAAUAAGCCUUGCCAAUAUAAACCUUUGUAAUAAGUGCUAAGGAGAUGCUGGCAUAGAGCUCCAGCUGAAUAAGAGUCAAACUAGAGUGAGAGGAAAAUAAAAUGCCUGUGGCAGAAAUAUAUUUUAUAGAUGUUGUUGGUGGGUCAGAUGAUAUUGCUUGAUUAGUACAAAGUUCAAAGUUCAGGGAUAGAGAUUGAUGUGAAAGGGCUUUGUUAAAUAUGCUAUCUAACAUAGGCUGAAUGGACACAAAAACAAGACCUACAUAUUUGCUGUUUAUAAGAGACCCACUUCAGAUCAAGAGACACAUACAGGAGUUCCCGUCAUGGCGCAGUGGUUAACGAAUCCAACUAGGAACCAUGAGGUUUCGGGUUCGGUCCCUGCCCUCGCUCAGUGGGUUAACGAUCCGGCGUUGCCAUGAGCUGUGGUGUAGGUCGCAGACGCAGCUCGGAUCCCGAGUUGCUGUGGCUCUGGCAUAGGCUGUCAGCAACAGCUCCAAUUCGACCCCUAGCCUGGGAACCUCCAUAUGCCACGAGAGCGGCCCGAGAAAUGGCAAAAAG
rnacentral:lncRNA from 1 species